rfam:Capsicum annuum cultivar Zunla-1 unplaced genomic scaffold scaffold2697, whole genome shotgun sequence
UACCUGGUUGAUCCUGCCAGUAGUCGUAUGCUUGUCUCAAAGGUUAAGCCACGCAUGUGUAAGUAUGAAUAAAUUCAGACUGUGAAACUGCGAAUGCCUUAUUAAAUCAAUUAUAGUUUGUUUGAUGGUAUCUACUACUCAGAUAACCAUAGUAAUUCUAGAGCUAAUACGUGCAACAAACCUAGAAUUCUGGAAGAGAUGCGUUUAUUAGAUAAAAGGUCGACGCGAGCUUUGCCCGUUGCUGUGAUGAUUCUUGAUAACUUGAUGGAUCAUACGACCCUCAUGCCAGCGAUGCAUCAUUUAAAUUUCUGUCCUAUCAAUUUUUCGAUGGUAGGAUAGUGGCCUACCAUGAUGGUAAUGGGUGAAGGAGAAUUAGGGUUCAAUUUCAGAGAGGGAGCCUGAGAAACGGCCACCAUAUCAAAAGAAGGCAGCAGACGUCCAAAUUACCCAAUCCUGACACGGGGAUAUAGUGACAAUAAAUAAUAAUACCAGGCUCAAUGAGUCUAGUAAUUGGAAUAAGUACAAUAUAAAUCCCUUAACUAGGAUCCAAUGGAGGGAGAGUCUGGUUCCAGCAGUCGCGGUAAUUCCAGCACCAAUAGCAUAUAUUUAAGUUGUUGCAAUUAAAAAGCUCAAAGUCAGACUUUGGGAUUGGCCGGACGGUCCGCCUAUGGUGUGCGUUGCUCAUCUCGUCCCUUCUGUCAGCAGUGCGCUCCAGGCCUUAACUGGCUGGGUCGUACCUCCGGUACUAUUACUUUGAAGAAAUUAGAGUGCUUAAAGCAAGCCUACGCUGUGUAUACAUUAGCAUGGGAUAAUAUUAUAGGAUUUUGAUCCUAUUAUGUUGGCCUUCGGGAUCGGAGUAAUGAUUAACAGGGACAGUCGGGAGCAUUCGUAUUUUAUAGUCAGAGGUGAAAUUAUUGGAUUCAUGAAAUACGAACAACUGCGAAAGCAUUUUCCAAGGAUGUUUUCAUUAAUAAAGAAUAAAAGUUGGGGGAUCGAAGGCGAUCAGAUACCGUCCUAGUCUCAUUCAUAAACGAUGCCGACCAGGGAUCGACGGAUGUUGCUUUUAGGACCCCGCUGGCACCUUAUGAAAAAUCAAAGUUUUUGGGUUCCGAGGGGAGUAUAGUCGCAAGGCUGAAAAUUAAAAGAACUGAUGGAAGGGAACCACCAGGAGUGGAGCCUGUUGCUUAAUUUGACUCAACACGGGAAACUUACUAGGUCCAGACAUAGUAAGGAUUGACAGACUGAGAGCGCUUUCUUGAUUCUAUGGGUAGUGGUGCAUGGCCAUUCUUAGUUUGUGGAGCGAUUUGUCUGGUUAAUUUCGUUAACGACCAAGACCUCAGCCUGCUAACUAGCUAUGCAGAGGUAUCCCUUGGCGUCUAGCUUCUUAGAGGGACUAUGCCUUUUAGGCCGCAGAAGAUUGAGGCAAUAACAGGUCUAUGAUGCCCUUAGAUGUUCUGGGCCGCACACGCGCUACAUUAAUGUAUUCAACGAGUUUAUAGCCUUGGCUGACAGGCUCGGGUAAACUUUGAAAUUUUAUCAUGAUGGGGAUAGAUCAUUGCAAUUGUUGGUCUUCAACGAGGAAUUCCUAGUAAGCGCAAGUCAUCAGCUCGCGUUGACUACCUCCCUGCCCUUUGUACACACCGACCGUCACUCCUACCGAUUGAAUGAUCCGAUGAAAUUUUUGGAUCGCGGCGACGUUGGCAGUUCGCUGCCCGAGACUUUUUGAGAAGUCCAUUUAACCUUAUAAUUUAGAGGAAGGAUAAUUUGUAACAAGGUUUCCGUAGGUAAAUCUGCGAAAGAAUCAUUG